GCCCAAAGCCUUCUCUAGCCAGCAAAGCUGGUAUUUGGCCACCCUUUCUUCUGCUUCUGCAGUAUCUACGAGCAAAAGCACCAUUACUCCCACCGUACCCACCUCUUCAAAACUUAUCUAUACUUACACUCAUGCUAUGAGUGGUUUUAGUGCUCAUCUUUCUCCUUAUGAGCUUGAGGCCUUGAAAAACUCUCCCGGCUACAUUUCUUCCUUUAAAGACCUGCCUGUUAAACUUGACACAACUCGUUCACCAACAUUUCUAGGCCUCAAUUCCAACUCUGGAGCAUGGAAGGCGUCGAAUUAUGGGGAAGAUAUCAUUAUCGGGUUGGUAGAUACUGGUAUUUGGCCGGAAAGUGCUAGUUACAGUGACAGUGGAAUUUCUGGA
rnacentral:misc_RNA from 1 species